GCGGGUGUCAUAUAAUGGUUAUUAUACAAGCUUCCCAAGCUUGAUACGAGGGUUCGAUUCCCUUCACCCGCU
rnacentral:tRNA from 1 species